GGGUAUAUAGCUCAGUGGUAGAGCACGGGCUUAGCAUGUGUGAGGUCCUGGGUUCAAUCCCCAGUAUCUCCA
rnacentral:tRNA from 1 species